UUUAGCUUAGUCUAGUAGGUAGAGUGUUUGCCUGAUGUGCAAGAAGUCCUGGGUUUGAUCCCCAGCACUGAAA
rnacentral:tRNA from 1 species